rnacentral:rRNA from 1 species
GGCAACCCUGAUCCAGCAAUGCCGCGUGAGUGAAGAAGGCCUUCGGGUUGUAAAGCUCUUUUGUCAGGGAAGAAACGGUGGGGGCUAAUAUCCUCUGCUAAUGACGGUACCUGAAGAAUAAGCACCGGCUAACUACGUGCCAGCAGCCGCGGUAAUACGUAGGGUGCAAGCGUUAAUCGGAAUUACUGGGCGUAAAGCGUGCGCAGGCGGUUGUGCAAGACAGAUGUGAAAUCCCCGGGCUCAACCUGGGAAUUGCAUUUGUGACUGCACGGCUAGAGUGUGUCAGAGGGGGGUAGAAUUCCA